rnacentral:rRNA from 1 species
UAAGAAUUUAAAAGUCGAACAGACUUAUUAUUAAGAAUUCUACUUCUUAAAAUAUUCUUAAUUCAACAUCGAGGUCGCAAAAUACGAUAUAGAUAUGAACUCCCCAUCAAAAUUACGCUGUUAUCCCUAAGGUAACUUAGUCUUGUUAUCCGUGUCAAAUAUUGAGGGAUCUAAAAUUACAUAAACAAAUGAAUACUAAAACUAAAGUUAAUGAUUUAGCUGCCACCCCAGCAAAAUAUAACUAAACAUUAAUAAAAAAUUAAUAAAUAAAACUUAAUAAAAUAAAAUUAUAUAAAGUUCUAUAGGGUCUUAUCGUCCCAAUAAAUCAAUAAAGCAUUUUAACUUUAAAUUUAAAUUUUAACAUUUAAAGAAAUAAAACAUAAUUCUCAUACAUCCAUUCAUUCAAGCUUUCAAUUAAAAAACUAAUUACUAUGCUACCUUUGCACAGUCAAAAUACUGCAGCCAUUUAGAAAUUUAACCAUAGGGCAGAAGAUACUUUAUAUAAAACCA